rnacentral:rRNA from 1 species
AGAACGAACGCUGGCGGCAGGCUUAACACAUGCAAGUCGAACGAUGUAGCAAUACAUAGUGGCGCACGGGUGAGUAACACGUGGGAACAUGCCUUUCAGUUCAGGAUAACACCGGGAAACUGGUGCUAAUACUGGAUAUUCCCUCCGGGGGAAAGAUUUAUCGCUGAAAGAUUGGCCCGCGUUAGAUUAGGUAGUUGGUGGGGUAAUGGCCUACCAAGCCUACGAUCUAUAGCUGGUCUGAGAGGACGACCAGCCACACUGGAACUGAGACACGGUCCAGACUCCUACGGGAGGCAGCAGUGGGGAAUAUUGGACAAUGGGCGCAAGCCUGAUCCAGCCAUGCCGCGUGAGUGAUGAAGGCCUUAGGGUUGUAAAGCUCUUUUGUCAGGGAAGAUAAUGACGGUACCUGAAGAAUAAGCACCGGCUAACUUCGUGCCAGCAGCCGC